rnacentral:rRNA from 1 species
CCUACGGGCGGCAGCAGUGAGGAAUAUUGGUCAAUGGACGAGAGUCUGAACCAGCCAAGUAGCGUGAAGGAUGACUGCCCUAUGGGUUGUAAACUUCUUUUAUAUGGGAAUAAAAUGUUCCACGUGUGGGAUUUUGUAUGUACCAUAUGAAUAAGGAUCGGCUAACUCCGUGCCAGCAGCCGCGGUAAUACGGAGGAUCCGAGCAUUAUCCGGAUUUAUUGGGUUUAAAGGGAGCGUAGGUGGAUUGUUAAGUCAGUUGUGAAAGUUUGCGGCUCAACCGUAAAAUUGCAGUUGAAACUGGCAGUCUUGAGUACAGUAGAGGUGGGCGGAAUUCGUGGUGUAGCGGUGAAAUGCUUAGAUAUCACGAAGAACUCCGAUUGCGAAGGCAGUUCACUGGACUGCAACUGACACUGAGGCUCGAAAGUGUGGGUAUCAAACAGGAUUAGAUACCCGGGUAGUC